rnacentral:rRNA from 1 species
GACGAACGCUGGCGGCGUGCUUAACACAUGCAAGUCGAACGGAAAGGCCCUGCUUUUGUGCGGUGCUCGGGUGGCGAACGGGUGAUUAACACGUGAGUACCCUGCCCUUGACUUUGGGGUAACUUCAGGUAACUUGGGCUCAUACCGGAUAGAAGCUCCUGCUGCGGGGUGGGCGUUGGAUAGUUGAGGCGGUUGGGGCUGGACGCGCGGCUUAUCAUCUUGUGUGUGGGGUAUUGGCUUACCAAGGCUUUGACGGGUUGCCGACAUGAGAGGGUGACCGGCGACAAUGGGACUGAGAUACGGACCAGAGGCGAACGGGAGGCAACAGUGGGAAAUAUUGCACAGUGGGGGGAAGCGUGAUACAGCAGCGUCGCGUGCGGGAAGAGGGCUUGCGGGGUGUAAAAAGCUUUCGCCUGAGACAAGGCGUGAGUGACGGUAAUGGAUAAAGAAGCACCGGCUAACUACGUG